UACGAAGGGGGCAAGCGUUGUUCGGAAUUACUGGGCGUAAAGGGCGUGUAGGCGGCCAACUAAGUCCGACGUGAAAUCCCCAGGCUUAACCUGGGAACUGCGUCGGAUACUGGAUGGCUUGAAUCCGGGAGAGGGAUGCGGAAUUCCAGGUGUAGCGGUGAAAUGCGUAGAUAUCUGGAGGAACACCGGUGGCGAAGGCGGCAUCCUGGACCGGCAUUGACGCUAAAGCGCGAAAGCCAGGGGAGCAAACGGG
rnacentral:rRNA from 1 species